UGCUGAACCCGAACUGCCUAAACACCUAAGGGUCUCACUCCUAACAUCAAAUCUUAACCCUGAUCCUCUUAAUCCUAUCCCUAACUUGAAACCCAGAUUCUCCAGCCCUAACCUAAUACUAACUCUGGCCCUACACCUUGCCUGAACCUAAACCCUACUCCAAACCCGAACUUUCAUCAGAACUGCCUAAACACCUAACCUAAAAUGCCUAAUUCUAACACUAAAAGCAAAAUGUCCUCUCCUUAACUUCUACCUAACCCACAACCAUGACUCGGAGCUUUUCAAACCUAACCCCUCACCCAUUUACCUAAACCCCCCCCACCCUAACCUCUUGACUACCCCUGUAAUUGUCAAACCCUCAUCCCCCUAACCCACCCGUUAUCACUGAAAAUGCUGGCCUCUUACCCCAGCUUCAACCGCAGGCCCCCCCCCCCCCCCACCUCCCCCCAAAAUCGUAAAACUAAACUUAAACUCUUCCAUACUCCAGGCAUGUUGUGCUCUGGGCAUUGGCGGGCCACUGUCCUGCCUGUUUUCCACCUCUCCUGGCUGCAACACACCUAAUUUAGAUAAUCAGCUCAUCAGCCAGCUCUGAAGCAGCAUUAAAACGAUCCUGAUUAUUUGAAUUGUGUGCUGCCCCUGGAAGAACUGGAAAAGGGCCGGACGGAGACUCUUAAUGACAGUUUGGACACCCCUGCCCUACCCUGAACGCUAAUCCCAACCUAAACCAUUACCCCCUACCCGAAACUAACAACCCCGAACCACCCAAUCUCUAUAAUCCUAAAACCAGAUUAAGACCUAACUUCUUAUUGCCAGUGAAUUAAGUGACACUAAUGCCUAACUGCUGUCAGUUUAUGCAAUUUGGUUUUAUUUCAUUGGGACAGUGCACAUAAAUCAACAAAUUGAGGAAUAAGCGGUGAAACUGGGUAAUCUUUUACAAGUGAACCCAGUCUGCAAAACCUGCAAACGAAAUUUUCCAAUGUAAAAUAUGGACAAAUGGAAGCUGUACCACCCCAAGUGACACAUUCAGCAGGAGUCAUUUGAAUGCUGAUGGAAUUACACGAAGACUCAAGUGUUCAACCAUUGGAGAAGUGAGGAUGACAGAUGUGGAAAAAGAAGAUCAAGACCCUCAUCCAGGCCAAAACUGGACUUAACUGAAUGAAGCCAAAGUUGUCUCUCACAAACGAUCCAUACGAGUUGUCUUUUUUUUUCACUUCCAAGUGUGCCAAAUUGUUUACAUUAAAAAGACAUUGAUGGAAA